rnacentral:rRNA from 1 species
UACGGGGGGGGGCAAGCGUUGUUCGGAAUUACUGGGCGUAAAGGGCUCGUAGGCGGCCAACUAAGUCGGAUGUGAAAUCCCCAGGCUCAACUUGGGAACUGCAUCCGAUACUGGAUGGCUUGAAUCCGGGAGAGGGAUGCAGAAUUCCAGGUGUAGCGGUGAAAUGCGUAGAUAUCUGGAGGAAUACCGGUGGCGAAGGCGGCAUCCUGGACCGGCAUUGACGCUGAUGAGCGAAAAGCUAGGGGAGCAAACGGG